GACGAACGCUGGCGGCGUGCCUAAUACAUGCAAGUCGAACGCACUCUCGUUUAGAUUGAAGGAGUUUGCUCCUGAUUGAUAAACAUUUGAGUGAGUGGCGGACGGGUGAGUAACACGUGGGUAACCUGCCCUAAAGUGGGGGAUAACAUUUGGAAACAGAUGCUAAUACCGCAUAAAACCUAACACCGCAUGGUGUAGGGUUGAAAGAUGGUUUCGGCUAUCACUUUAGGAUGGACCCGCGGUGCAUUAGUUAGUUGGUGAGGUAAAGGCUCACCAAGACCGGAAUGCAUAGCCGACCUGAGAGGGUAAUCGGCCACACUGGGACUGAGACACGGCCCAGACUCCGACGGGAGGCAGCAGUAGGGAAUCUUCCACAAUGGACGAAAGUCUGAUGGAGCAACGCCGCGUGAGUGAAGAAGGUUUUCGGAUCGUAAAACUCUGUUGUUGGAGAAGAAUGUAUCUGAUAGUAACUGAUCAGGUAGUGACGGUAUCCAACCAGAAAGCCACGGCUAACUACGUG
rnacentral:rRNA from 1 species